rnacentral:rRNA from 1 species
UACGAAGGGGGCUAGCGUUGCUCGGAAUUACUGGGCGUAAAGCGCACGUAGGCGGACUCUUAAGUCGGUGGUGAAAUCCUGGAGCUCAACUCCAGAACUGCCUUCGAUACUGGGAGUCUUGAGUCCGGGAGAGGUGAGUGGAACUGCGAGUGUAGAGGUGAAAUUCGUAGAUAUUCGCAAGAACACCAGUGGCGAAGGCGGCUCACUGGCCCGGUACGUGACGCUGAGGUGCGAAAGCGUGGGGAGCAAACAGG